UACGGAGGGUGCGAGCGUUGUUCGGAAUCACUGGGCGUAAAGCGCGUGUAGGCGGCCCACUAAGUCUGAUGUGAAAGCCCGGGGCUCACCCCCGGAAGUGCAUUGGAAACUGGUGGACUCGAGUCCCGGAGAGGAGAGUGGAAUUCCGUGGUGUAAGCGGUGAAAUGCGUAGAAUAUCAGGAGGAACACCGGUGGCGAAAGGCGGCUCCUCGUGGGAACGGUGACUGACGCUGAGACGCGAAAGCGUGGGGAG
rnacentral:rRNA from 1 species